rnacentral:rRNA from 1 species
AACAGGAUUAGAUACCCUGGUAGUCCACGCCCUAAACUAUGUCGACUAGUUGUUGGGGGAGUCUGUCCCUCAGUAACGUAGCUAACGCGUGAAGUCGACCGCCUGGGGAGUACGGUCGCAAGAUUAAAACUCAAAGGAAUUGACGGGGACCCGCACAAGCGGUGGAUUAUGUGGAUUAAUUCGAUGCAACGCGAAGAACCUUACCUACCCUUGACAUGCCAGGAACCCUGCAGAGAUGCGGGGGUGCCCGAAAGGGAACCUGGACACAGGUGCUGCAUGGCUGUCGUCAGCUCGUGUCGUGAGAUGUUGGGUUAAGUCCCGCAACGAGCGCAACCCUUGCCAUUAGUUGCUACAUUCAGUUGGGCACUCUAAUGGGACUGCCGGUGACAAACCGGAGGAAGGUGGGGAUGACGUCAAGUCCUCAUGGCCCUUAUGGGUAGGGCUUCACACGUAAUACAAUGGCGCAUACAGAGGGCUGCAAACCCGCGAGGGGGAGCCAAUCCCAAAAAGUGCGUCGUAGUCCGGAUUGUUCUCUGCAACUCGAGAGCAUGAAGUCGGAAUCGCUAGUAAUCGCGGAUCAGCAUGUCGCGGUGAAUACGUUCCCGGGUCUUGUACACACCGCCCGUCACACCAUGGGAGUGGGGUCCACCAGAAGGCGUUAGCCUAACCGCAAGGAGGGCGACGACCACGGUGAGCUUCAUGACUGGGGUGAAGUCGUAACAAGGUAACC